rnacentral:rRNA from 1 species
ACGGAGGGUGCAAGCGUUAUCCGGAUUCACUGGGUUUAAAGGGUGCGUAGGCGGCCUGAUAAGUCAGUGGUGAAAGCUUCCAGCUUAACUGGGAAACUGCCAUUGAAACUGUCAGGCUUGAGUACAAUUGAAGUGGGCGGAAUACAUCAUGUAGCGGUGAAAUGCUUAGAUAUGAUGUAGAACACCGAUUGCGAAGGCAGCUCACUAAAUUGCAACUGACGCUGAGGCACGAAAGCGUGGGUAGCGGACAGGA